rnacentral:rRNA from 1 species
UUAACGGAGAGUUUGAUCCUGGCUCAGGACGAACGCUGGCGGCGUGCCUAAUACAUGCAAGUCGAGCGGACUUGAAGGAGUGCU